rnacentral:tRNA from 1 species
UGCCUGGAAGUCUAGUGAUUAAGACUCCAUGCUCCCAAUAUGGGUGUACAGGUUCGAUCCCUGGUCAAACAA